UCUCGGUGAUGAAGAAAAAAAAGAUGACGAGUCCGAUCAAUCCAUUCUUUCAAUUGUGACGACAAAUCGAGGCAUUUGUCUGAGAGAA
rnacentral:snoRNA from 1 species